rnacentral:lncRNA from 1 species
UUCGACGUUCGUCAUCGCUUGAGAAUUCGAUCAACACCAAGCCCUAGCCGGACUCUAAUACCAUUUCUCACGACUUGUUCCCUUUACAAUUGCUUGGAUGAAGGAGCUGGUGCAGUUAGAAUUCUCACCGAGAAAGUGUAGGCGGCAGCAGCAGCAAAGGUAUUCAGUUUAUAAGUCAUUUAUUUAAUAAAAAGAGCUUUUGAGAUAUUGUAUGUAAAACCAGUUAUUGUAUGAACUUGUAUGAACUUGUUCUCAUAUUCAUUCAUGAUGGCAGUGAGUCUAAAUGCUGAUUUAUAACAUUCUAUCAAUUAAUUUUGCAGUGUAAAGGAAGAUGGCAGUAUAUAGGUAUGUACCCUAUUAUUAGCAAUCUUAUUUCAAAAUAGCAAGAGCCCAC